rnacentral:rRNA from 1 species
AACCUCCGCAAUGUGAGAAAUCGCGACGGGGGGAUCCCAAGUGCCAUUCCUAACGGGAUGGCUUUUCAUUAGUGUAAAGAGCUUUUGGAAUAAGGGCUGGGCAAGACCGGUGCCAGCCGCCGCGGUAACACCGGCAGCUCUAGUGGUAGCAAUUUUUAUUGGGCCUAAAGCGUCCGUAGCCGGUUUAAUAAGUCUCUGGUGAAAUCCUGUAGCUUAACUGUGGGAAUUGCUGGAGAUACUAUUAGACUUGAGACCGGGAGAGGUUAGAGGUACUCCCAGGGUAGAGGUGAAAUUCUGUAAUCCUGGGAGGACCGCCUGUUGCGAAGGCGUCUAACUGGAACGGUUCUGACGGUGAGGGACGAAAGUUAGGGGCGCGAACCGGAUUAGAUACCCGGGUAGUCCUAACUGUAAACGAUGCGGACUUGGUGUUGGGGUGGCUUGAGCUGCUCCAGUGCCGAAGGGAAGCUGUUAAGUCCGCCGCCUGGGAAGUACGGUCGCAAGACUGAAACUUAAAGGAAUU